AUGUAUCGGUCAAUAGCUUGGAAAGACCGAAUUGGUUCUCCACAAGACGCCAAACUGCUGAGCCAGCACCUUCCCUUACAAACAGGAAACUUCAAGCGAAUGAUGAAUCUGAUCCUGGGUCUAAUGACUAUGUUUCACUUCGUGGAUUCACAGACAAUCCACCAGAUUCCCGCUGCUGUCUCCAAAACUCCCGGGGAGAAAGUGACUCUGAAGUGCACUGUGCAGGGUACCAGCAACCCUUACAUGUACUGGUACAAACAAAGCCCAGGGAAGGAACCGCAGUUCAUGUUUUACUCUACAGGUAGCAAUAUCGUAACUCCAGAGGAACCGGUGGACGGUUUCACCGCCGAGCGACCGAGUGACACCGAAUUUAACCUGAAAUCUCCCAGCCUCCGAGUGGAUCACUCGGCCGUGUAUUUCUGUGCCUGGAGUAUUCACAGUGACUCAGAGAUAAGGAGCAGCUCAACAAAAACCCCAAACGGCAGCUGGAAACAAAGCUGUUUCCUCUCACCGCAGAUCUUUGACAUAAGGAGAUCAGUUACAAUGAAAGCGGAUGAUGAAAUUGAGUAG